GGAAGCUCAUUGGUUGAGCACUCGACAGUUAAUCGAGCGUGCGGGUUCGAGUCCCGCUCCA
rnacentral:tRNA from 1 species